AGCAGUUCUCGGGUGACGUACCCUGAAAUCGGGCUCCCUCCUCUCUGGUUCCAGGUCCAUCACCCGAGAACCACA
rfam:Myotis brandtii contig188048, whole genome shotgun sequence.